ACGAGGAAGGGCGUAGUAAGCGACGAAAUGCUUGAGGGAGUUGAAAAUAAACGUAGAUCCGGAGAUUCCCGAAUAGGUUAACCUUUCAAACUGCUGCUGAAUCCAUGGGCAGGCAAGAGACAACCUAGCGAACUGAAACAUCUUAGUAGCCAGAGGAAAAGAAAGCAAAAGCGAUUCCCGUAGUAGCGGCGAACGAAAUAGGAGCAGCCUAAACCGUGAAAACGGGGUUGUGUA
rnacentral:lncRNA from 1 species